CUUGGCAUGGUGACCCUUAAAGUCUCCUGACGGCUCCGAUUGCGAUUCUGAUGAUGAACCAUUGUCUAUGCUUCUGAGCGAGUCAAAAGUCUAGAUCAAGAAUCUUCGCUGCUUCAACCACUAUCGCUUGGAUGACAUACGUGUGAAGAAACUUGAAGAACUUGUGUUGAAGAGCAUGCUUGAGAAACUAGAAUCAAUUACAUUGAUCGUUUUGGCAAUGCUUCAAUGUUUCAAUACCUCAAUCUCUCUUUUAUACUGUUUGAUUUUAGACAUUUUGAAUAUCAUAAAUAAAGCAAACUCCACUCAUAAUUGUAAUUGUGUGUAGUAAUUGCAAUGAAAUAGAUCCAUUUAAAAUCAAUGAAUUGAUUUAAAGCUAACUGGUAACAUUUUCCAUGAUUUCUGAAACAAUGAACUGAAUGGUCAUACAGGUGUUUGGUAAACUUUGUAGCGUUUGAGACUGUGUACUAAAUUUUAUUGAAAUAUCCUAGAAAGAGAUUGUGUAAACUGACUUGUUUCUGAUACUCUACUAACAAGAUAUUUAUGAAAAACAGAGAUGAACAAAAAAGUAACGAUGAUGAUUAUAUUAGUCAUUUUUCCUAUUGAAAAACUUCAUGAUACAUGUAGUACAUGUAUGUCAAGCAUUUUGUAUGUCACAUGUGGCAUUUCCUCCCUACGAUUGCUGAACAAACAUGAUAACCAGGACAUGUAUAACGAAUUUGAUAAAGACAUUUUAGCAUAUUUACAAGUACUGUAUAAUGAAUGAAAUAACCUUCGUAUUCCUUGGAUGUAUACCUGAUGAGUCUUUUCGAAAAACCCUAGAUGUACAUUUCAAAAUGCAAUACAGUAUUGAUGAUAAUUGAUGAUGAUAUGUUUGGUAUGAAUUAUUUAAUAUUUUGAAUUUAUGCUCUAUUUGCCACUUGCUGUUCUGGUUCCAAAUGUUUGAAUUAAAACUGCUCAGUCGAAAUUCA